rnacentral:rRNA from 1 species
CCUACNGGCUGCACCAGUGGGGAAUAUUGCACAAUGGGCGCAAGCCUGAUGCAGCCAUGCCGCGUGUAUGAAGAAGGCCUUCGGGUUGUAAAGUACUUUCAGCGAGGANGAAGGCGUUAAGGUUAAUAACCUUAGCGAUUGACGUUACUCGCAGAAGAAGCACCGGCUAACUCCGUGCCAGCAGCCGCGGUAAUACGGAGGGUGCAAGCGUUAAUCGGAACUACUGGGCGUAAAGCGCACGCAGGCGGUUUGUUAAGUCGGAUGUGAAAUCCCCGGGCUUAACCUGGGAACUGCAUUCGAAACUGGCAAGCUUGAGUCCUGUAGAGGGGGGUAGAAUUCCAGGUGUAGCGGUGAAAUGCGUAGAGAUCUGGAGGAAUACCGGUGGCGAAGGCGGCCCCCUGGACAAAGACUGACGCUCAGGUGCGAAAGCGUGGGGAGCAAACAGGAUUAGAUACCCGUGUAGUC